GACGAACGCUGGCGGCGUGCUUAACACAUGCAAGUCGAACGCUGAACCACUUUCGGGUGGGGAUGAGUGGCGAACGGGUGAGUAACACGUGGGUAAUCUGCCCUGCACUCUGGGAUAAGCCUUGGAAACGAGGUCUAAUACCGGAUAUCACCUCCCUUCGCAUGGAGGGUGGUUGGAAGCUCCGGCGGUGCAGGAUGAACCCGCGGCCUAUCAGCUUGGUGGUGGGGUAGUGGCCUACCAAGGCGACGACGGGUAGCCGGCCUGAGAGGGUGACCGGCCACACUGGGACUGAGACACGGCCCAGACUCCUACGGGAGGCAGCAGUGGGGAAUAUUGCACAAUGGGCGCAAGCCUGAUGCAGCGACGCCGCGUGAGGGAUGACGGCCUUCGGGUUGUAGACCUCUUUCGCCAGGGACGAAGCGCAAGUGACGGUACCUGGAUAAGAAGCACCGGCUAACUACGUGCCAGCCGCCGCAGUAAAAC
rnacentral:rRNA from 1 species